rnacentral:rRNA from 1 species
UACAGAGGUCUCAAGCGUUGUUCGGAUUCAUUGGGCGUAAAGGGUGUGUAGGUGGCGCGCUAAGUCGGGUGUGAAAUUUCGGAGCUUAACUCCGAAACUGCAUUCGAUACUGGCGUGCUUGAGGACUGGAGAGGAGACUGGAAUUUAUGGUGAGCAGUGAAAUGCGUAGAGAUCGAUGAGGAAGACCAGUGGCGAAGGCGGGUCUCUGGACAGUUCCUGACACUGAGACACGGAAGGCCAGGGGAGCAAACGGG